rnacentral:rRNA from 1 species
GACGAACGCUGGCGGCGUGCUUAACACAUGCAAGUCGAACGGAAAGGCCCUGCUUUUGUGGGGUGCUCGAGUGGCGAACGGGUGAGUAACACGUGAGUAACCUGCCCUUGACUUUGGUAUAACUUCAGGAAACUGGGGCUAAUACCGGAUAGGAGCUCCUGCUGCAUGGUGGGGGUUGGAAAGUUUCGGCGGUUGGGGAUGGACUCGCGGCUUAUCAGCUUGUUGGUGGGGUAGUGGCUUACCAAGGCUUUGACGGGUAGCCGGCCUGAGAGGGUGACCGGCCACAUUGGGACUGAGAUACGGCGCAGACUCGUAUGGGAGGCAGCAGUGGGGAAUAUUGAACAAUGGGCGGAAGCCUGAUGCAGCAACGCCGCGUGCGGGAUGACGGCCUUCGGGUUGUAAACCGCUUUAGCCUGUGACGAAGCGUGAGUGACGGUAAUGGGUGAAGAAGCACCGGCUAACUACGUG